AAUAGCCCCAGCAAGUAGCUCUGCAUCAUCACAAUCUCCUGUGCGUGGACCCCCCAACCCAUGCCCUGGCUCCCAGCACACUGCUGGCUGGCACUCCUGGGGCCCAAGAAAGGAGUAAAUGCAGAAACCCCUGAAUGACAGGGUCAGGGUAAAUUAAAGAAAGCAGAGAAGACAGAGACAAGGGAGAACAGGUGAGGGGUCUGGAAGGGGAGACCACUUACAGAGGCUCAGGAAGGAGGGAGGGGAGAGUCAGGAGAAUGUGAAACUCAGAAUGCAAACAAAUUGAUUAGGAUGAUAGUUGAGGAGUAACACAAACAGCUGGCUUCAGUUUAGGUCACAAGAACUGGAUAUCACAAGGGAAGUAAAGGAGAGGACCCUGCUCCUUGGCGUGAUGUUUUGUUUUAGGGCAAUGAGAUGUUCUGGAGGCUGAUGGUGUUGGUUGCACGGUAGUGACUAUACUAAAAAGCACUAAAAAAUAAUAAUAAUAAAAAAUAAAAAGCACUAAAUUAUACAUUUUCAAAGGGUCUAUGUAAACUCUCUCUCCAAAGGAAAACAAAGGAAUAGUCUAUUAGAAAUUCAGCAUGGUGAUUCCAUCUGGGGUGUGGGCACACGGAGCUUCUAGACACUUGAAACAUUCACUCAAUUAUUGGUGGUCAUGCCCAGGGUUGACUGUCUUACUCAUUAAACUGUAGAGAUAUGCUCUACUCACACUUUUUUUUUUUAAUUUUUAUUUAUUCAUGAUAGGCACACAGUGAGAGAGAGAGAGGCAGAGACACAGGCAGAGGGAGAAGCAGGCUCCAUGCACCGGGAGCCCGACGUGGGAUUCGAUCCCGGGUCUCCAGGAUCCGCCCUGGGCCAAAGGCAGGCGCCAAACCGCUGCGCCACCCAGGGAUCCCCAUCUACUCACACUUUUGUAAAUGUAUACAAAUAUGACAAAUAUUUAAAAUAUGAAAACAAACCAGGGAAGAUACAGCAGCAGAAAUCUCUAACAGGAUGGAGAUGCAACAGGAUGGGAACACGUGUUAGGAGAUGCUCAGGCUACCCUGCAGGCCCUAGGGUACUUCUGCCAGCUGCCCCCAUGCCAGCAGUCGAGGUGGCUUCCUGUGGUUAGGAUUCUCACUUCUACUGGAA
rnacentral:lncRNA from 1 species